AGGAGUUUAAGCAAAAUGUGAAAGUACACGAGCGGCGGACGGCUGAGUAACGCGUAGGAACGUACCCCAAAGUGAGGGAUAAGCAUUGGAAACAGUGUCUAAUACCGCAUAUGCUCUUCGGAGUAAAGCUACGGCGCUUUGGGAACGGCCUGCGUAUGAUUAGCUUGUUGGUGAGGUAAAAGCUCACCAAGGCGACGAUCAUUAGCUGGUCUGAGAGGAUGAUCAGCCAGACUGGGACUGAGAACGGCCCAGACUCCUACGGGAGGCAGCAGUAGGGAAUUUUCCACAAUGGACAAAAGUCUGAUGGAGCAACGCCGCGUGCAGGAUGAAGGCCUUAGGGUCGUAAACUGCUUUUAUUUGUGAGACGAAUAUGACGGUAGCAAAUGAAUAAGGAUCGGCUAGCUCCGUGCCAGCAGCCGCGGU
rnacentral:rRNA from 1 species